GGGCCUAUAGCUCAGCGGUAGAGCAGCCGGCUCAUAACCGGUCGGUCCCUGGUUCGAUCCCAGGUGGGCCCA
rnacentral:tRNA from 1 species